GGGCGCGAGCGUUGUCCGGAAUUAUUGGGCGUAAAGAGCUUGUAGGCGGUUUGUCGCGUCUGCUGUGAAAGCCCGGGGCUUAACCCCGGGUUUGCAGUGGGUACGGGCAGACUAGAGUGCAGUAGGGGAGACUGGAAUUCCUGGUGUAGCGGUGAAAUGCGCAGAUAUCAGGAGGAACACCAAUGGCGAAGGCAGGUCUCUGGGCUGUAACUGACGCUGAGAAGCGAAAGCAUGGGGAGCAAACAGGAUUAGAUACCCUGGUAGUCCAUGCCGUAAACGUUGGGCACUAGGUGUGGGGAACAUUCCACGUUUUCCGCGCCGUAGCUAACGCAUUAAGUGCCCCGCCUGGGGAGUACGGCCGCAAGGCUAAAACUCAAAGAAAUUGACGGGGGCCCGCACAAGCGGCGGAGCAUGCGGAUUAAUUCGAUGCAACGCGAAGAACCUUACCAAGGCUUGACAUAUACUAGACCGCCUCAGAGAUGGGGUUUCCCUUCGGGGCUGGUAUACAGGUGGUGCAUGGUU
rnacentral:rRNA from 1 species